GAUACAAUCACGGGAGCUGAAACAAGACUGGUUCAGAUUAGAAACACAGCACAAAGGUUGAACACUGAGGGUAAUUACCUGUUGGAAUGACUGACCUAGGAGUGAGCCACAUUCUUCACCUUCUGGAAGUCUUUAAAAUCAGGCCUCCACAUCUCCAUGAGAGAUAUGCUGUUACUUAGAUAGAAAGCAUGGGGUGGUUGCAGAAUUAGGUAGCUGAGGUGCUUUCGCUGGUGUUUUGCAUUGUCUCUUUAUAAUGCUUUCUAGUCUUCAGAUCUCUGAGCGAGGAUCUCUGGCUCAGAUCGAUGACCUGUCCCUCAGACCAAUUACUUCUGCCUCUCAGGUAGCCGAGGAAAGCAAAGGAUGGAGCAGGGGCUCACUGAUGCAGUUGCACCCUUUACAAAGGCUGGCUGCCCCCUGCAUGGCUACAGGAGAGAGGAAGAAAAGACCUGCAACUUUUGAAGACAGAUCCAGGACUGGACCCUUCAGUCACUGAGCCAUGGCAGAGAGCACCCUCCAAGCAAGCCCAGAUACUUGCAUUGUUAUAAAAAGGCCUUGUUGUGCUCUUCUCUCUCCGAAGAAAUGCCGAGCUCGUCUGAUGAAUGAGGAAAGAACUGGCUGAGCUGCAGUUAGGCACAGGACUCACAAUGCAGUACUCAUCUUUCAUAUUCUACAGUAUUCAAUUACUGUGCUUUGCACUGAGGCAGUCAGGUCAUAGAGUCAGAGUCACAGACAACGAGGGUUGAAGGGACCUCGGGAGGUCACAUCGAGUCCAACCCCCUGCUCCAAGCAGGACCAGCCCCAACUACAUCAUCCCAGCCAAGGCUUUGUCUACCUGGGUCUUCAAAACCUCCAAGGAUAGAGAGUCCAACACCUCUCUGAGGGGCCUGUUCCAGUGCUUCACCACCUUCCUAAUGAGGAUGUUUUUCCUAAUAUCCAACCGAAAUUUCCCUUGCUGCAAUUUAAGCCCAUUGCUCCUUGUCCUGCCAUCUGCCCCCACUGAGAACAGCCUAGCUCCAUCCUCUUUGCAACCCCUGCAGGGAGGUGAAGGCUGCUAUUCAAUCCCCCUCGGUCUUCUCUUGUGUAGAGUAAAGAAUUAAAGCAUUCA